UUCACCCCUUAGAUUUUAAGUUCCUUCUCAAUUUGGAGCGUUGGAUCAGGCGGAUGGAUGAUCCGGAUGACAAGCAUAGAUUUGAUCCCGUAGUUCAUUAUUUGGGGCAUUUCGUGCAUCAUGGGGUUGAAUUAGUAAAUUUCUAUACUCAAAAACUCCCGAAACGGCAUGUGCGAAAUUUCUAUACCCACUACCUUCCCUCUAUUCUACACACCAGUCAUCUCCAAACGUAUUAACUCACAAUCUCUCUACCCACUUCGUCUCCCCAAUUUCGAACCCCUUUCAAAACCCUAGCUGCCCUCUCUAACCGCUUCGCCUCCAACUCGAUUUCUUGGAAACAACCCUUCCGAUUUUGUGCAAGAUUCGUCUGCGGUCAAAGAGGAGAUUUCAAAAUGUCUAAAAGAGGACGUCCGUUAGUUUCACAACAAUCGCAGAAAGAGGCAUGAAAGCAGCUAAGAUUGGACAUUGACGAGGCGGUCGAUGAUAUACUGCCAGUAGG